GUGCUCGCUGCGGUAGCACAUACACUAAAAUUAGAAUGGUACAGAGAUUAGCACAGUCCCUGCGCAAUAGCCACACGCACAUCCGUGAGGUGUCCCACAUUUUU